rnacentral:rRNA from 1 species
UACGUAGGGAGCGAGCGUUGUCCGGAUUCAUUGGGCGUAAAGAGCUCGUAGGCGGCUUGGUAAGUCGGAUGUGAAACCUCCAGGCUCAACCUGGAGUCGCCAUCCGAUACUGCUAUGGCUAGAGUCCGGUAGGGGCCCAUGGAAUUCCUGGUGUAGCGGUGAAAUGCGCAGAUAUCAGGAGGAACACCAGUGGCGAAGGCGACCACCUGGACUGAUACUGACACUGAGGUGCGAAAGCGUGGGGAGCAAACAGG